ACGGCUCAGUAACACGUGGAUAACCUGCCCUAAGGAAGGGGAUAACCUCGGGAAACUGAGGAUAAUACCCUAUAGGUUACAGACGCUGGAAUGCCCUGUAACCGAAAGUUCCGGCGCCUUAGGAUGGAUCUGCGGCCGAUUAGGUUGUUGUUGGGGUAACGGCCCAACAAGCCGAUAAUCGGUACGGGUUGUGGGAGCAAGAGCCCGGAGUUGGAUUCUGAGACAUGAAUCCAGGCCCUACGGGGCGCAGCAGGCGCGAAAACUUUACAAUGCGGGAAACCGUGAUAAGGGAACCCCGAGUGCCUGUAUAUGCAGGCUGUCCAGGUGUCUAAAAAACACCUGAAGAAAGGGCCGGCCAAGACCGGUGCCAGCCGCCGCGGUAAUACCGGCGGCUCGAGUGGUGGCCACUUUUAUUGGGCUUAAAGCGUUCGUAGCUGGGUUGUUAAGUCUCUUGGGAAAUCUGACGGCUCAACCGUCAGGCGUCCAAGGGAUACUGGCAAUCUUGGAACCGGGAGAGGUGAGGGGUACUUCGGGGGUAGGAGUGAAAUCCUGUAAUCCUCGAGGGACCACCUGUGGCGAAGGCGCCUCACCAGAACGGCUUCGACAGUGAGGGACGAAAGCUGGGGGAGCAAACCGGAUUAGAUACCCGGGUAGUCCCAGCCGUAAACGAUGCGCGUUAGGUGUAUCGGUGACCACGAGUCACCGAGGUGCCGAAGGGAAACCGUGAAACGUGCCGCCUGGGAAGUACGGUCGCAAGGCUGAAACUUAAAGGAAUUGGCGGGGGAGCAC
rnacentral:rRNA from 1 species